GCUUCGUGGUAGAGUGGUAAGAACACUUGCCUCUUAUUCUUGAGUCCCGGGUUCGAUUCCCGGAGGACGAGAAUU